AAAUUCAAUCAUUAAUCAUCACAACUUUUCGAGAUGGAUAACUUGGCUCUUGCAUCGUUGAAGAAUGCAGCAAAACGCGAAAUGAAAUGCGACAUGCGGAGUUUGUGAGACAUUCUAUAUUCGAACGCACAUUGCACCACUUUGUUGGUACCAUUGGAUGAGUGUGGUUUCUCUCAAGUCAUUGCACGAUGCCUACAGUAAAGCUGUUUGCGUCUUUUUGCAAAGGUACUCUCGAUUAGUACUGUUACACCCUCUCACCUCAUCUCAAUGGAGGUUACCCCCUGGAUUUAAGCAUAUAACUAAGGGGAGGAAAAGAAACUAACUAGGAUUGGCAUAGUAACGGCGAGUGAACAGCCAUUUAGCCCAGCAUGAAAAUCAUCGCAAGAUGAAUUGUGGUCGCACCUGUUGCUAGUGCAUGCGAGUAAUACGCUGGAGAGCGUAGCCAUGGAGGGUGAAAGCCCCGUUUCGCGUCGCACGUUCGGCUUCAGGGCAGAGAGUAGGGAUGCUUGGGAUUGCAUUCCGAAGAGGGAGGUAAACUUCUUCCAAGGCUAAAUAAUGGCAAGAGACCGAUAGCAAACAAGUACCGUGAGGGAAAGUUGAUAAGAACUUUGGAAAGAGAGUGAAAUAGUCCUUGAAAUCUCGAAAAGGGAACGGUUGCUGCUGCGAACCUGAAUAGCAGGCUCUGCUCGCUAAAAAGGGACUUUGCGCAUGUUUACGAGCGCUCAGAAAUCGUGCGAAUGGUAGGUUUAUCCGA
rnacentral:rRNA from 1 species